rnacentral:rRNA from 1 species
GAUGAACGCUGGCUACAGGCUUAACACAUGCAAGUCGAGGGGAAACGACGGGGAAGCUUGCUUCCCCGGGCGUCGACCGGCGCACGGGUGAGUAACGCGUAUCCAACCUGCCUCUGACUGAGGGAUAACCCGUCGAAAGUCGGCCUAAUACCUCAUGGCAUCGUCUGCGGGCAUCCAACGACGAUUAAAGAUUUCAUCGGUCAGAGAUGGGGAUGCGUCUGAUUAGCUUGUUGGCGGGGUAACGGCCCACCAAGGCGACGAUCAGUAGGGGUUCUGAGAGGAAGGUCCCCCACAUUGGAACUGAGACACGGUCCUAACUCCUACGGGAGGCAGCAGUGAGGAAUAUUGGUCAAUGGGCGAGAGCCUGAACCAGCCAAGUAGCGUGCAGGAUGACGGCCCUAUGGGUUGUAAACUGCUUUUAUGCGGGGAUAAAGUGAGGGACGUGUCCUUCAUUGCAGGUACCGCAUGAAUAAGGACCGGCUAAUUCCGUG